rnacentral:misc_RNA from 1 species
UCUCACUGAAAUUUGAAUAUCCAGUUGCCCAUAUUCCCUCCAUAUCUAACUUCAAAUUCUCAUCUCUACACCACACAAACUCUUCUCUCAAUUCACUCUCCUCCUCCCCAUGCAUUUCCUCGAACCCAUAUGGCUUCUCCGGGGACAUUGUCACAUCCACGCUUUUCUCCGGCGGCACCCCAAAAAUCCCAGCAGCCAUGGCCACCACCAAUCUUGUAAAAUCACAUGGAAUUCCAUAAUUAACCAACUGAAAGCACCCGAUUCUUGACAGGGAAUCCAAAAUCCUAGGAAUUGAAUCACUGUCCGCAGAAUGCAACGAUUGGAAAUCAAUUCUUGGCGGCGUUUCAACAAUCUUUUGCCUAGGG